GAAUGUGAAGAUAAUCCAUUGGCAACACAUCAUUUCCUUGAUCAACAUGAUUGAUGAGGCUUAUUUGACUGGCUAGGAAUGUUUCUCCUCCUCCCUUAUAGUUCCAUGUGCAUCCCUCCCAAAGCCAUGUGCUCAAUCAAAGAAGAUGGAUGAUCUGCCCAGAUAGAGUAGGGCUGUUCUUUAGUCAAGGAUGUGGGGUGGUUGUGUUUCCCUACCAGAACCUUUGUUCCAGUGGUUCUCUCACCUAGAGGGGUUAUUAAUACACGCAUUGCUGGGCUCCCAUUCCCAGAGUUUCAGUCAGU
rnacentral:snRNA from 1 species